rnacentral:rRNA from 1 species
UACGUAGGGUGCUAGCGUUGUUCGGAAUCAUUGGGCGUAAAGCGCGUGCAGGCUGUUAGUUAAGUCGGGUGUGAAAUCCCUCGGCUCAACCGAGGAAGUGCAUCCGAAACUAACUAGCUAGAGAAUGGUAGAGGAAGGUGGAAUUCCUAGUGUAGAGGUGAAAUGCGCAGAUAUCAGGAGGAACACCGGUGGCGAAGGCGGGUCUCUGGGCAUUAACUGACGCUGAGGAGCGAAAGCAUGGGGAGCGAACAGG